GACGAACGCUGGCGGCGUGCCUAAUGCAUGCAAGUCGAGCGAUCGGCCGAGAGGGCUUGCUCUCUCGGUACGGAGCGGCGAACGGGUGAGUAACACGUGAGCAACCUGCCUCAGAGACGGGGAUAACGUUGGGAAACCAACGCUAAUACCCGAUAACCCGGACCGAGGGCAUCCUUGGACCGGCAAAUGUUCCGGCGCUCUGAGAGGGGCUCACGCCCUAUCAGCUUGUUGGCGGGGUAAUGGCCCACCAAGGCUUCGACGGGUAGCUGGCGUGAGAGCGCGACCAGCCACACCGGGACUGAGAUACGACCCGGACUCCUACGGGAGGCAGCAGCAGGGAAUAUUGGACAAUGGGCGAAAGCCUGAUCCAGCGACGCCGCGUGAGGGAUGAAGGCCUUCGGGUUGUAAACCUCUGUUGUCAGGAAAGAAGCCGGGUGGCACAACCCGGUGACGGUACCUGACGAGGAAGCCCCGGCUAACUACGUGCCAGCAGCCGCGGUGAUACGUA
rnacentral:rRNA from 1 species